rnacentral:lncRNA from 1 species
CACCCCCAACGUCAUCUCCACCACCACCUUACCACUACGUGAGCCCUCCUCCACCUUCACCAUCUCCUCCCCCACCAUACCACUACACAUCACCACCUCCUCCAUCGCCAGCUCCUGCUCCCACAUACGUCUACAAAUCCCCUCCACCCCCAACAUCAUCUCCACCACCUUCAUAUCACUACGUGAGCCCCCCUCCACCUUCACCGUCUCCACCACCACCUUACCAUUACGUGAGCCCACCUCCACCUUCACCAUCUCCUCCACCACCAUACCACUAUACAUCACCACCUCCUCCCUCGCCAGCACCUGCUCCCAAAUACAUCUACAAAUCACCUCCCCCACCACCAGUUUACAUCUACGCUUCCCCACCACCACCGAUAUACAAGUAAGCUCAGAAUGUAGACGCAACAAUUGUAAUAAAUCACGU